UACGAAGGGUGCUAGCGUUGUUCGGAAUCACUGGGCGUAAAGCGCGCGUAGGCGGCGACACAAGUCAGAGGUGAAAUCCCAGAGCUUAACUCUGGAACUGCCUUUUGAAACUGUGUUGCUAGAGUACUGGAGGGGAGUGGGGAAUUCCUAAUUGUAGAGGUGAAAUUCGUAGAUAUUAGGAGGAACACCGGUGGCGAAGGCGCCACUCUGGACAGUAACUGACGCUGAGGCGCGGAAAGCGUGGGGAUCAAACGG
rnacentral:rRNA from 1 species